UUAGAAGAAGCCAAAGUAAGAGGCAUGCCACUGUUAACGGUAUUUAGAUUUAGAUCCUUUUAAA
rnacentral:tRNA from 1 species